rnacentral:rRNA from 1 species
UACGUAGGGUGCAAGCGUUUAAUCGGAAUUACUGGGCGUAAAGCGUGCGCAGGCGUCUUGCAAGACAGAUGUGAAAUCCCCGGGCUUAACCUGGGAACUGCAUUUGUGACUGCAAGGCUGGAGUGCGGCAGAGGGGGAUGGGAAUUCCGCGUGUAGCAGUGGAAAUGCGUAGAUAUGCGGAGGAACACCGAUGGCGAAGGCAAUCCCCUGGGCCUGCACUGACGCUCAUGCACGAAAGCGUGGGGAGCAAACAGG